GAGCGAGCGGCGGGUGUCCCUGAGAGGCCACCUUUCGACCUUCGAGGGCCAGGAGGAUACGGGGAGGUGGCCGGAGGGAGUUCCCGAACACAGGUCUUCCUGUUCCCGCCGAGCAGGUGUUGGCGGUGCCAGGCCCGGCCUGGCGGGCCCGGGCUGGCAGCCAAAUACCCAGCGUCUGUGCUCGGGACGGGAGUGUUCGUCCAGGACGUGCAGCUCCGGAGCCUGCGCGGGCGACCUUGACCACCUUUGUCGGCUGUUUCCCCCUGAGGGAAGUAUACCUGUCCUGCCAGCCUUGGUCUCUGGCAGGGAAGGUCCUUCCAACAGAGAGGGGUGCGCACGAAUUCCUUUUUGCCGCUCUUCUAUUAAUAGUUUGAGAUUUUCCUCCCCGAUUCCUUGCAGAGAGGGCCUGGUCCUCAAGGACCUCGGGAUCUGGGCGCGACGUCCCUUCCCAGCUUCCUCCCGCGCGCACCGGACCAGAUCUUGCUGUCGUCAGCUGGCUGGUACCCAAAGUUCCUCUUCGUCAGGCUGUUCCUUCCCCGUUAGAGUCCUUCCUCCCCAGGAGCCCUCUCCAUCUGCUGACCUUCAAGACCCAGAGCGAAUGCCACUUCAUCCAUGAAGCCUUCCCUUAACCCUUAUCUGGCCAAAAUGUCUCUUUCCUGUGCUUCUGUACUUUCACAAUUUUAGAAAAUGCCUUUGUGGUUAAAAACCUAUCUCCGGGACCGGACUAUCUAGGUUUAGAUUCUGGCUGCCGCUUACGAAUUUGGGCAGGUUUAGUCAAGUUAUUUUAACCUCUCUGUGGAAGUUCCUGCUCUGUGGAAAUAAUAGUAUUUUCCUCAGAGUUGGUGUGGGGAGUUUGUGAGUUAAUACAUUUACGAAGUGGUUAGUUGCAUGUAAGAAGGACUCUCUAAAUGUCAGCUAUUAUUAACAUUGCAUAUCUGCCACACCCUUCAUAGAUGGUAAACUGCUUUUUUUUUUUUUUUUACUUUUAUUUUAGGUUCGGGAUACAUGCACAGGUUUGUUUUAUAGAUAAAUUGCUUGUCAUGUGGGUUUGUUGUACAAAUUAUUUUGUCACCCAGAUAGUAAGCAUAGUACUUGACAGGUAUUUUUUCUGAUCCUCUCCCUCCUCCCACCCUCUAGCCUCAAGUAGGUCCCAGUGUCUGUUGUUCUCUUCUUUGUGUCCAUGUGUUCUCAAUGUUUAGCUCCCACUUACAAGUCAGAACAUGCAGUAUUUGGUUUUCUCUUCCGCAUUAGUUCACUUAGGAUAAAGGCCUCCAGCUCCAUCCAUGUUGCUACAAAGGACAUGAUCUCUUUCUUUUUUAUGGCUGCAUAGUAGUCCAUGGUGUAUAUGUACCGUAUUUUCUUCAGUCUACUGGUGAUGGGCAUUUAGGUUGAUGCCAUGUCUUUACGAUUGUGAAUAGUGCUGCAGUGAACAUACAUGUACAUAUAUCUUUAUGGUAGAAUGAUUUAUAUUCUUUUGGGUAUAGACCCAAUACUGGGAUUGUUGGGUCGAAUGGUAAUUCUGUUUUAAGUUCUUUGAGAAAUCGCCACACUGCUUUCCGCGGUUACUGAACUAAUUUACAUUCCCACCAGCAUUGUAUAAGCAUUCCCUUUUCUCCACAACCUCACCAGAAACCAGCAUCUGUUAUUUCUUGACUUUUAUUAAUAGCCAUUCUGACUGGUGUGAGAUGAUAUCUCAUUGUAGUUUUGAUUUGGGUUUCUCUAGUGAUUAGUGAUGUUGAGUAUUUUAUAUGCUUGUUGGCCAUGUAGCUUCUUUUGGCUAGGGACCUGUGAGUCUCCCUAGGUUUCUUGCACUUACUAAGCCUUCAACAAAUGGUAGAAGAGUCAAUUCUCUUGGUGUUUCAGAAGAAAACAAUAUCACAGCCCCUCUCCACUGGAUAAUACUAUAAAUCUUAAAAUGAAUUUUCAUUCAGAGUAAUAAACACAAGCCAAAGAACUUUGUAUAACAUCCGUCAACUUUUUGUGUUAUCUAUUUCUUUUCCAAAACAUUGCCUCUGGUUUUAAAGGUAACUGCCCACAGUGUUUCACUAAUAACAUUUUAAGCAUUACAAGUUCAACACUGAAGGUCAAAUGACAACGAACUUUCAGUGCUUCCAAAAGCAGGGGCAGAGGGCAACUGCUGAGGGGGGCAUUGUAUAGCCUAACCUUCCCAGAAUUUGAUUUAAAAGUAUGAUCUUCACAGCGUUGGCCAGCAAUAUCAUGGUCACUCCCUACGUCAUUCCCUGGGAGAAAAACAACCCUAGGUUACCUAAACAAUGUUGGCGAAGACCAAAUAUUUAUUAACAUCCUAAGCCGCCCCAUAAUCAAGCCAAUGCUGAUAGGGACAAAGAAGGUGCCAUGUGCAGUUUUUCUCCAUGUCCCCACAAUAUCUGCUCUGAAUUUUAAAAGGCAAUUACUGGGGGAGAAGGAAGCCUAUAUAUUAUGUAGGAUCCAAGUCUCAAACUGCUUUCCUAGGGAGUGUGAGGUUCUUGGAGAUUAAGUGCAGUACCUUUCUGUCUUGAGCCUUGUAGGCUGCCCCUCUAAUUUAAUGCCAGUCUUGAAAUAAACAGAAUGCUUUCCAAGUCAUCGCUAAUUUUAACACUUUAAAUUUAGAAUUGCUUAGAAUUGACUCAACACUGCCUCCUUGCUGAAUGGAUAAUUCAAGCAAACAACUCAAGAGCUGGAUGCUGCCCAGACAGGUAGGCAGCCAGAUAAAGUGAGUGUCCAGGGAAAGAGCAGUAAGGGUCAGAAGAGAAAGAGCCUGGUGUUCUCACUGCCUCCUGCCUUCCUUAUGACUGUCUGUUCAGAAGUCCUCCUAGCAUCUUUCUUCUGCCUUCCCCUGCUCCUGUCCCUGAAACCUUUUCUUCAAAAGAAGUGGAAAAGAGGAACUGGGAACCCAUAUAGCAACAGCAUCACCUGGAAUGAAUUCCUUUAGAACAUACUGUCUUGGAAAUCUGAAGCCUGCAGGGCUGGACAGGCAAGAAGAGCAGUGAGCACUGCAUGAACCUCACCCUUGAACUUCUAUAUGGUCUCCAAAGACAUGAUAAAUACAGAGAUUGCUCUCUCCUCUCAACUGCAACAGUAAUGAUUCCUUUGCAUUUUAAUUAAGUCUUUUACACAUGAAUAAGUCUUUAUCCUCAAAUGGACUAAAGACUCCUCGAGGACAAGAACUAUCCUUCAGUCCCAUACAUUGGUUACCUGGCAAAGGACCCUAAAUGCAGAUUAUGAAGUAGCUAUGGAAUUUGAAUGGGUUGAUUCUUCAGCUCCCAGAAAAAAACUUUGAUUGGUUUAACUGGCCACAGUAAUUGAUGUGGGAAUGAGGCCCUGACAUAAUUUCAACUUAGAAGACAUGUUCACUGGAAGUGAACUAGGAAGCAUGAAGUCUCAGACAUUCGACACUGAAAGAAUAAGCAGUCUUAGGAUGAAGGCAGUGCUAUGGACACCAGAACUCCAUGGUUCAGGCUGUUCAGCAUCAACUGUUCCUGACAGCCACCCUAACGUGCCUCCAGUUUCCUGGGCCAACAGAUGCCUGUCAUUGUUGAAGUUUCUUUGAGUUGGGUCUUCCGUUACUUACAAUUUAAAUCACCCUCACUGAUUACUAUGUACUUAAUUGUUCUCCUCCACUCUCUGCCAAUCCAUAUGCUGAAGCCUUAACCCCCAACGUGAUAGUAUUUGGAGACUGGAACUUUGGGAGAUAAUUAGAUUUAGAUGUGGUCAUGAGGAUGGGACCUUCAAGAUGAGAAUAGUAUCCUUAUAAAAAGUGGUACUAGAAAGCCUCUCUUUCUCUCUCUCUGCCACGUAAGAACACAGCAAGAAGGCAGCCAUCUGCAAGCCAGGAAGAGAGCCCUUACCAGAACUUGACCAUGCUGACACCCUGAUCUCAGAUGUGCAGCCUCCAGAACUGCAAAAAAGACACAUUUUCAUUGUUUAAGCUACCUAGUUUAUGGUAUUUUGUUACAGCAGCCCAAUCUGACUAAUACGCUGAUACAGGCAUAUUAGGGUACAUGCCACCAGCAGAGUGGUUCAACUGCAGGUCCACACUUACCCAGUGAAGGUGACUCAGCCUAGAGUGUGACUCAGUCUCUUCCCAACCCUGUCCGCAUCACCCCUGGAAGAGUCAGCUCCUCCCACAACUGCAGUCCUGACAGCAGCAUCAUGCCUCUGAAAUGAUCUUGCAAACAAGCUGUCAUUGGAGUGCUGAGAGAGUGGCAAUAUCAACUAAAAACAUGAAGAAGAAGAGCAACAAAGAGGAGGAAGAGGAGGAGAAGAGGGAAAGAAGUGAGGCGCUGUGGUGAAGAAUAGUACUUCUCAUCUCCACCAGAACAGCAGAGAACAAUGAAAGCACACCAUCAGGACGUCUCAGGGUACAGCCAGAAAAGCCAUUACCAUUUGUGCCAAUAUCUUUGAAAUCUUGUAUUUUGUCAUAAAAAGUUAUGCAGUUUCUGU
rnacentral:lncRNA from 1 species